rnacentral:misc_RNA from 1 species
CAUGACGCAUCUAAUGAGCCAGCAUAGUAUUGAGGGUUUUCUCUGAGAUAUCAUAGUGGUUCACCAGAUGUAAAUGCAACAAUACAGUCCACUACAUUUCACAUUGGAUUUUUUUAAUUCCUCUAUUGAGACCUUAUGCCCCAUUCUGCAUAUUUUUCUUCAAAAAAGUAAUGAUGAGGACAUGCUACACAAUUUUAGCACCUAUUCCUUCAUCCACAUGUAUCCUUG